rnacentral:rRNA from 1 species
GGACCCUGCUAUCGAUAGACUAAACAUGCUAGUCAAGCGCCUUUUCCCAAANGGNNCNCCAUGNNUAGAANGNGGNUGGCNGGCGCACAGCUCAGUAACACGUGGCUAACCUGCCCUUAGGACGAGUGCAACCCCGGGAAACUGGGGCUAAUCCUCGAUAGGUGAAGAACACUGGAAUGUGUCCUCGCCCAAAAGGCACCAGAUCAUGCUUCUGGUGUUGCCUAAGGAUGGGGCCGCGACCGAUCAGGUUGUUGGUGAAGGGUAAUGGCCCACCAAGCCUAUAACCGGUGCGGGCCGUGAGAGCGGGAGCCCGGAGAUGGGCACUGAGACAAGGGCCCAGGUCCUACGGGGCGCAGCAGUCGCGAAAACUUUGCAAUACACGAAAGUGUGACAGGGUCAUCCCGAGUGCCGACCGCUGAGGUUGGCUUUUACCCAGUCUAGAAAGCUGGGGGAAUAAGGAGAGGGCAAGUCUGGUGUCAGCCGCCCGCGGUAAUAACCAGCUCUCCNGAGUGGUGUGGACGUUUAUUGGGCCUAAAGCAUCCGUAGCUGGCCAAACAAGUCCCCUGUUAAANCCACCGAUUUAAUCGUUGGCUUGCGGGGGAUACUGUUCGGCUAAG